UGGGGAAUAUUGCACAAUGGGCGCAAGCCUGAUGCAGCCAUGCCGCGUGUGUGAAGAAGGCCUUCGGGUUGUAAAGCACUUUCAGCGAGGAGGAAGGUGGUGAGCUUAAUACGCUCAUCAAUUGACGUUACUCGCAGAAGAAGCACCGGCUAACUCCGUGCCAGCAGCCGCGGUAAUACGGAGGGUGCAAGCGUUAAUCGGAAUUACUGGGCGUAAAGCGCACGCAGGCGGUUUGUUAAGUCAGAUGUGAAAUCCCCGGGCUCAACCUGGGAACUGCAUUUGAAACUGGCAAGCUAGAGUCUCGUAGAGGGGGGUAGAAUUCCAGGUGUAGCGGUGAAAUGCGUAGAGAUCUGGAGGAAUACCGGUGGCGAAGGCGGCCCCCUGGACGAAGACUGACGCUCAGGUGCGAAAGCGUGGGGAGCAAACAGGAUUAGAUACCCCUGGUAGUCCACGCUGUAAAACGAUGUCGAUUUUGGAGGUUGUGCCCUUGAGGCGUGGCUUCCGGAGCUAACGCGUUAAAGUCGACCGCCUGGGGGAGUACGGCCGCAAGGUUAAAACUCAAAUGAAUUGACGGGGUC
rnacentral:rRNA from 1 species